GACGAACGCUGGCGGCGUGCUUAACACAUGCAAGUCGAACGGAAAGGCCCUGCUUUUGUGGGGUGCUCGAGUGGCGAACGGGUGAGUAACACGUGAGUAACCUGACCUUGACUUUGGGAUAACUUCAGGAAACUGGAGCUACUACAGGAUAGGAGCUCCUGCUGCGUGGAGGGGGUUGGAACGUUUCGGCGGUUGGGGAUGGACUCGCGGCUUAUCAGCUUGUUGGUGGGGUAGUGGCUUACCAAGGCUUUGACGGGUAGCCGGCCUGAGAGGGUGACCGGCCACAUUGGGACUGAGAUACGGACCAGACUCCUACGGGAGGCAGCAGUGGGGAAUAUUGCACAAUGGGCGGAAGCCUGAUGCAGCAACGCCGCGUGCGGGAUGACGGCCUUCUGGUUGUAAACCGCUUUCGCCUGUGACGAAGCGUGAGUGACGGUAAUGGGUAAAGAAGCACCGGCUAACUACGUG
rnacentral:rRNA from 1 species